UACCCGCAACUUGAUCUCAAUUUCUGGUCUAUAAAAUAAACAGACAACCUCCCUCUCAUCUAUUAAUAUUACUAUCAACAUUUCACCGUCUCCAUUCCCCUCCCUCUCUCUUUUACUCCCGCUUCAUCUCCCCUUUUCUUAACCUUCAUAUGUAAAACUAUUGUUUUUUUUUUCCCUUGUUGUUGUAAGCUGUUACGUGCAAACGCUGCUCGAUCCCUGUUUAAUUAAAGUUCAAUUUUGUAUCUCGAUCCCCAAAAUCGUCCGUUUCGACAUCAAUGUCGACUUGUCCCGAGAAAACGAAGAAGAAGAAAACCCAAUUCCCGCCGAGGAGAGGGCGAGUGAAGGCUCAGAUUUUUGAGAGCAUAGUGAAGACCGUUGUUUCUGCAGCGUCCAAGACUAAAGAAGAAAUGGGGAAGAACAAAAGUGAAGGAUGUGAUGGAAAGAGUUGUUCGUCUUCGUCUACAACCUCGACUCCACCACAAAGUGGCUAUACCUGUGAAGGAAAUGGCCACAUAUCUUAGAAAACAACCAUCUCAGUCAAGGGUGAAAUCAAUCAUCAUCCUAUUUUGUGGUUCUUGUCCCAAUCCUCGAGUUUGAGAAACAUGUUUCAUGGUUCUCAAGCCCCCUUCUCUGCAUAUUUCUCUAAACCCCCCCCCCCCCGGGAAAAGGCAGUAUCCAGAAAACCCCAUGAAUAAAACAAGGUUUCUUCUGAAAUCCUUGUAGCUAGGCUUUUCAAAACCUGACAUUUUAGAUUCAGGUAACAGCUUUCCGUCUGGUUUCUCAACAAGGGUAACCCUACAUUAACUCGUGUUUUUUGUCAGUUAAGGUGGGGGAUAUAUAUAAACCCAUGUUCGUUUGUUUGUUUUUGUAUUUUGUGGUUUAAGCCCUCUUCCAUAGUUGUUUCCUACUAGUUUUUGAGAGGAGAUGAUGUUCAUGGUGAGGCUGGUUUGUUUCGGGGUUUGAUUUGUCAUUCUGUUGCUACUGCCCAUCUGUUGUUUGUGUAGUUGAUGCACUAUGAAUCUAUGAUUUAGUAGUCUGAAGAUUUUCAUGUUUGCAUAAA